rnacentral:lncRNA from 1 species
CCUCCAGAAGCUCUCCUAUCCUUUUCUUUUCUGCUUCCUUAAAGUCUUCAGGGUGCCUCCUGACAUAAUCAAGCAGCUCUCUGUCCAGUUUAGCGUGGACAUACUCAGCACGUUUAACAAGGAAAUAGCCAGUGAACCACCCCACGGUAAUAAACAGGAUCUGGCGGUGAACACCGGCUCUCAGGACGGGCCGCUGGGCGAACCCGUUGUCCAGCAGGGCCGCCAGCCAGCCGGUCAGCCCCAGCCACACCGAGCCCUUGUUCACGAGGGGCGGCGGCGGCAGCGAACGGGCCUCAUCCGGGAGGAACGGCAUGGCGGCGGCGCCCAGAGGUGACCGCGCGGUGCAGCGCUACCCGCGCUCCGCCGCCCGCGGAGCCCCGAACACGAGUUCCGCU